UUAAAGCUAGCCUGUCCACCUACCCCAAACCCAACAUUAUUAACUACCUUACAUAUUAAACCCUAACUAAAACAUUUUAUCAUUCUAGUAUGGGCGACAGAAACAAAACUCAGCGCAAUAGACUAUGUACCGCAAGGGAGAGCUGAAAGAGAAAUGAAACAAAUAAUUAAAGUAACAAAAAGCAGAGAUUCUACCUCGUACCUUUUGCAUCAUGAUUUAGCUAGAAAAACUAGACAAAGAGAUCUUUAGCCUAUCUUCCCGAAACUAAACGAGCUACUCCGAAGCAGCACAAUUAGAGCCAACCCGUCUCUGUGGCAAAAGAGUGGGAAGACUUCCGAGUAGCGGUGAUAAGCCUACCGAGUUUAGUGAUAGCUGGUUGUCCAAGAAAAGAACUUUAGUUCUGCAUUAAUUCUUUCAUUACCAGAAAAUCUAUUAUAUUAAGGUCAAACAUAAGAAUUAAUAGUUAUUCAGAAGAGGUACAGCCCUUCUGAACCAGGAUACAACUUUCAAAGGAGGGAAAUGAUCAUAUUUAUUAAGGUUUUCACCUCAGUAGGCCUAAAAGCAGCCACCUGUAAAGUAAGCGUCAUAGCUCCAGUCCCACAAAAACCUAUAAUCCAGAUAUUCUUCUCACCGCCCCCUUAGCUAUAUUGGACUAUUUUAUAAAAUUAUAAAAGAACUUAUGCUAAAAUGAGUAAUAGGAGGAUAAACCUCUCCCGACACAAGUGUACGUCAGAAAGAAUUAACUCACUGACAAUUAAACGAACCCAAACUGAGGUCAUUAUACUUUUAUUUUAACCCAACUAGAAAAUCUUAUUAUAACAUUCGUUAACCCAACACAGGAGUGUCCUAAGGAAAGA
rnacentral:rRNA from 1 species